rnacentral:rRNA from 1 species
GUUAGGAAUAUUGGACAAUGGACGCAAGUCUGAUCCAGCCAUGCCGCGUGAGUGAUGAAGGCCUUCGGGUUGUAAAGCUCUUUAGCCGAUGAUUAUAAUGACUGUAGUCGGAAAAUAAGCCCCGGCUAACUUCGUGCCAGCAGCCGCGGUAAUACGAAGGGGGCGAGCGUUAUUCGGAAUCACUGGGCGUAAAGCGUGCGUAGGCGGUUUUGUAAGUUGGGAGUGAAAGCCCAGGGCUCAACCCUGGAAUUGCUCUCAAAACUACAAGACUUGAAUUCGGGAGAGGAUAGCGGAAUUGUCAGUGUAGCAGUGAAAUGCGUAGAUAUUGACAGGAACACCAGUGGCGUAAGCGGCUAUCUGGACCGACAUUGACGCUGAGGCACGAAAGCGUGGGGAUCAAACAGGAUUAGAUACCCGAGUAGUCC